rnacentral:rRNA from 1 species
AUUAGAUAAAAAACCAAUGCCCUUCGGGGCUCUUUGGUGAUUCAUAAUAACUUAACGAAUCGCAUGGCCUUGUGCCGGCGAUGGUUCAUUCAAAUUUCUGCCCUAUCAACUUUCGAUGAUAAUGUAUUGGAUUAUCAUGGUUUCAACGGGUAACGGGGAAUUAGGGUUCUAUUCCGGAGAGGGAGCCUGAGAAACGGCUACCACAUCCAAGGAAGGCAGCAGGCGCGCAAAUUACCCAAUCCCGACACGGGGAGGUAGUGACAAUAAAUACUGAUACAGGGCUCUUUUGGGUCUUGUAAUUGGAAUGAGUACAAUUUAAAUCCCUUAACGAGGAACAAUUGGAGGGCAAGUCUGGUGCCAGCAGCCGCGGUAAUCCAGCUCCAAUAGCGUAUAUUAAAGUUGUGCAGUUAAAAGCUCGUAGUUGAACCUUGGGCCUGCUGGCCGGUCCGCUCACGCGUGCACUGGUCCGGCCGGGCCUUUCCUUUGGGAGCGAUGUCCCCCACUGGG